CCAUACGACCGUACCGCAAACCGACACUGGUGCGCGAGAUGAGUAUUCUAAGGCGCUUGAGAGAACUCAGGAGAAGGAACUCGGCAAAUUGACACCGUAACUUCGGAAGAAGGUGUGCCCUAUUAGUGUGUAGUGAACAACGAAGCAUGAAUGGGUUGCAAAAAAUCGGUGGCUGCGACUGUUUAUUAAAAACACAGCACUCUGCAAACACGAAAGUGGACGUAUAGGGUGUGACGCCUGCCCGGUGCUGGAAGAUUAAAUGAUGGGGUGCAAGCUCUUGAUUGAAGUCCCAGUAAACGGCGGCCGUAACGAUAACGGUCCUAAGGUAGCGAAAUUCCUUGUCGGGUAAGUUCCGACCUGCACGAAUGGCGUAACGAUGGCCACACUGUCUCCUCCUGAGACUCAGCGAAGUUGAAAUGUUUGUGAUGAUGCAAUCUCCCCGCGGAAAGACGGAAAGACCCCAUGAACCUUUACUGUAGCUUUGUAUUGGACUUUGAACAGAUCUGUGUAGGAUGGGUGGGAGGCUUUGAAGCAGGGUCGCUAGAUCUUGUGGAGCCAACGUUGAAAUACCACCCUGGUGUGUUUGAGGUUCUAACCUAGGUCCAUUAUCUGGAUCGGGGACAGUGCAUGGUAGGCAGUUUGACUGGGGCGGUCUCCUCCCAAAGCGUAACGGAGGAGUUCGAAGGUACGCUAGUUACGGUCGGACAUCGUGACGAUAGUGCAAUGGCAUAAGCGUGCUUAACUGCGAGACUGACAAGUCGAGCAGAUGCGAAAGCAGGACAUAGUGAUCCGGUGGUUCUGUAUGGAAGGGCCAUCGCUCAACGGAUAAAAGGUACUCUGGGGAUAACAGGCUGAUACCGCCCAAGAGUUCAUAUCGACGGCGGUGUUUGGCACCUCGAUGUCGGCUCAUCUCAUCCUGGGGCUGUAGCCGGUCCCAAGGGUAUGGCUGUUCGCCAUUUAAAGAGGUACGUGAGCUGGGUUUAAAACGUCGUGAGACAGUUUGGUCCCUAUCUUUCGUGGGCGCUGCAGAUUUGAGGAAGCCUGCUCCUAGUACGAGAGGACCGGAGUGGACACACCUCUGGUGUAUCGGUUGUCACGCCAGUGGCAUUGCCGAGUAGCUAAGUGUGGAAGAGAUAACCGCUGAAAGCAUCUAAGCGGGAAACUCGUUUCAAGAUGAGAUCUGCCGGGGCCUUGAGCCCCCUAAAGAGUCGUUCAAGACCAGGACGUUGAUAGGUCAGGUGUGAAGC
rnacentral:rRNA from 1 species